CAGUAGCCGCGGUAACACGUAGGGGGCUAGCGUUAUCCGGAAUUACUGGGCGUAAAGGGUGCGUAGGUGGUUUCUUAAGUCAGAGGUGAAAGGCUACGGCUCAACCGUAGUAAGCCUUUGAAACUGAGAAACUUGAGUGCAGGAGAGGAGAGUAGAAUUCCUAGUGUAGCGGUGAAAUGCGUAGAUAUUAGGAGGAAUACCAGUUGCGAAGGCGGCUCUCUGGACUGUAACUGACACUGAGGCACGAAAGCGUGGGGAGCAAACAGGAUUAGAUACCCCUGUAGUCCCUGUCUCUUAUACA
rnacentral:rRNA from 1 species